rnacentral:rRNA from 1 species
AGAGUUUGAUCAUGGCUCAGAUUGAACGCUGGCGGAAUGCUUUACACAUGCAAGUCGAACGGCAGCACGGGAGCAAUCCUGGUGGCGAGUGGCGAACGGGUGAGUAAUAUAUCGGAACGUGCCCAGUCGUGGGGGAUAACGUAGCGAAAGCUACGCUAAUACCGCAUACGAUCCAUGGAUGAAAGCGGGGGAUCGCAAGACCUCGCGCGAUUGGAGCGGCCGAUAUCAGAUUAGGUAGUUGGUGAGGUAAAGGCUCACCAAGCCGACGAUCUGUAGCUGGUCUGAGAGGACGACCAGCCACACUGGGACUGAGACACGGCCCAGACUCCUACGGGAGGCAGCAGUGGGGAAUUUUGGACAAUGGGCGCAAGCCUGAUCCAGCAAUGCCGCGUGCAGGAUGAAGGCCUUCGGGUUGUAAACUGCUUUUGUACGGAACGAAACGGUGAGCUCUAAUACAGUUUGCUAAUGACGGUACCGUAAGAAUAAGCACCGGCUAACUACGUGCCAGCAGCCGCGGUAAUACGUAGGGUGCGAGCGUUAAUCGGAAUUACUGGGCGUAAAGCGUGCGCAGGCGGUGAUGUAAGACAGAUGUGAAAUCCCCGGGCUCAACCUGGGACCUGCAUUUGUGACUGCAUCGCUAGAGUACGGUAGAGGGGGAUGGAAUUCCGCGUGUAGCAGUGAAAUGCGUAGAUAUGCGGAGGAACACCGAUGGCGAAGGCAAUCCCCUGGACCUGUACUGACGCUCAUGCACGAAAAGCGUGGGGAGCAAACAGGAUUAGAUACCCCUGGUAGUCCACGCCCUAAACGAUGUCAACUGGUUGUUGGGUCUUCACUGACUCAGUAACGAAGCUAACGCGUGAAGUUG